rnacentral:rRNA from 1 species
GAUGAAUGCUAGCGGCAGGCUUAAUACAUGCAAGUCGUGGGGCAGCAUGAGUGUAGCAAUACAUUUGAUGGCGACCGGCAAACGGGUGCGGAACACGUACAGAACCCUCCUUCAAGCGGGGCAUAGCCCAGAGAAAUUUGGAUUAAUACCCCAUAAUAUAAUGAAGAGGCAUCUCUUUGUUAUUAAAGAUUUAUCACUUGAAGAUGGCUGUGCGGCUGAUUAGGUAGUUGGCGGGGUAACGGCCCACCAAGCCUGCGAUCAGUAACUGGUGUGAGAGCACGACCAGUGACACGGGCACUGAGACACGGGCCCGACUCCUACGGGAGGCAGCAGUAAGGAAUAUUGGUCAAUGGACGCAAGUCUGAACCAGCCAUGCCGCGUGGAGGAUGAAGGUCCUAUGGAUUGUAAACUUCUUUUAUAUGGGACGAAAAAAGGCUUUUCUAAGUCGUCUGACGGUACCAUAUGAAUAAGCACCGGCUAACUCCGUGCCAGCCGCCGCAGUAAAAC